rnacentral:rRNA from 1 species
CACGAACCGGACAAACGUUAUUCGGAAUCACUGGGCUUAAAGGGUGCGUAGGCGGUCUGACAAGUUGGGUGUGAAAUCCCUCGGCUCAACCGAGGAAUAGCGCUCAAAACUGUUGGACUUGAGGGAGUUAGAGGUAAGCGGAACUUAGGGUGGAGCGGUGAAAUGCGUUGAUAUCCUAAGGAACACCAGUGGCGAAAGCGGCUUACUGGAGCUUUUCUGACGCUGAGGCACGAAAGCCAGGGGAGCGAACGGG